GUAAGAGAAAAACAGUCUCACGGUUCAAUGUAUUACAACUUUCCCUCACAGUAACAAUCAUUACUGUAUGAAUAGAUUAUUUAUUGUUUUUUUUUUUAGGACAUGGUGCCUUUUUUCAGUCAUUUCACUAUAGUCAACAAAUAUGGCUUCUUCGUGGGCUUUUCUCAAACUCUUAUAUUUCAUUAUUAAACCUUGAGCGCUACAUUAUUAUCUCAGGAAAAUAUUUUAAACCCUUCUCUUAGAAACAUGUUUUGUGCAGCGGUUAUAUUCAGAGUAUCUUGGCGCUUUUCCACUGCAUGGUACGGUACGGCUCUGAGAGGUUUCGGACACAUUAUUACAGUCAGACCUUACUUGAAGUAUUUUCUCAAAUACAUAAAGCAUUUUUAUAUUAAUGGAGACAUGCUACUUGUCUGAUGAUCUAAUGAAAACAUAAAUGCAUUUCUUUUCAUCUAAAAAGAGUCAAAUAAUGUUUGACACGGAGUCACAAAUGGCGCUGUUUCUUAAGAAAGAGUUGCUGGUCAUGUCCUUUUAUUUCACCUGAGAGAAGAAAUGAAAUUACUGAUGAAGCAUGUAAAGCAUCCCAUGUGUGAUUCUGUUCUCAGACGGUUGUGUAUCCUGCAUCUAACACCUGAUUCAGCUCUUCAGAAGAGACUGUGAGGUGCUGGGGGGCAGUAUGGGAUCUGAGCAGAAGGCUUAUUAGAUAAACAGUUGGAUUAGUUUAGGAGAUGCAUAUGACAGCGUUUUCAAGUGGGAUCAGUGGAUUACAGCAGGACGAUAUCUCACGCAGAGACACUCCACUGCUGCAUGUCAGAACACCAGCAUGUUGCACUGGCUCCUGAUUUUGAUCGUCGUGUUCAACACCUCCAUCACAAUCGUGGAGUGGACAUUUCUCUUAUAUGAGCUGAUGAGGUUAAAUUCAGAAAACCCAGAUGAAGUGUGUUCGGAGUAGACAGAGCAGCACGGCUCGGUAGCAUGAGGAGUUUAGUCUUAGAAAUUAAGUGUCAAGACUGGGUCUUUGGCCCUAAACCUGAAGCUGGUGAUGCUGAGCGCGGCGGUGAAGAGGAGAGGGUUCUGAUGGAGGAAGAGCGAGCCGGUCUGCUGCCGGGAUUCAUCACCACCGAACACUAUCACACAGGGUCCGGCCUUCAUUACAUCACUUCACUAUGAGUCUACACACAGUCUGUGCCAGCUGUCACCAUUCUGGCUUAAGUUUUCACUUCGUUUUUAACAUGUUUUUAACAUACCAGAUGCUCUAUUAGCUGCUGUAGAACAGUGAAGGAUAGAUAGCAGUCUUUCAGUAUGGAAAGAGGACGUGGUCAUGUGAUCGUUGUGAUGUCAUCAUUGUAACUGCUGCUUCUGUGAUGCCAUUAAAAUGAAUUCUGGCACUGUAUAUAUACAUAUAACAGAAGGCAUAAAUGAUGCAAGUGUGAUACAGAAUUAAAGUCUCUCCUCAUUAGGAACCAACAGCUUGUUGUGUCUGAUUCAUCUUCAUGAUUCUAGAUUAUUCUAAUGCCUGUCUGGGUCAAUAAGCACAGAAACAUGUGAGAUGUUCAGCUCUAAAACACCACAUGAAACGCAUGAGGCCUGUCAAGAGCCCAAAAUCAAAACAAUGAAAUAUGUCGUGCUAAACUAAAGCUUGC
ensembl:lncRNA